rfam:Carnobacterium sp. CP1, complete genome.
UAAUCCUUUAAUCCUAGUCCUGUGAGACUAAGAAGGAGCAGACACGUAUGAGCGAAGACUAGCUAGUUUUUAAAACAGUCAACCUCAGAAUGCCCUCUUACUCAAUAGGUAAGAGGGCAUUUUUUAU